ensembl:lncRNA
CUGGCGAGGGGCAUUAAAACGCUUAAACGGACAUGCCUAGGGCUAGUUUUAGGGUCCAGUCUAAUGAAAAUAUUUCACUUUUAAAAGUUUCCAGUGGAUAGAUUUGACCUGGUGUGUAUUCCAGCUAUUCAGGGAGAAUAAAGCAGGGCAAACGCACGCUCAUAACUUUCUGUUCCAAGCAGGGAUCUGAUCCAGAGGAGAAACAGAGGAAGUCAGAGGGGAGUUGGCUUUCAUACAUCUUAGUGAAACAGAAACCACGC